UGAAAUUCUGUGUUGUUCGUUAAAGACAAAAAGACACUACGCCUCAGUGCAGGCAGGAGAACAGUCACAAGAAAGCCGUCCAGACGUCCUGAGGACAGACCCGGUCUGGACCACUUAAGACUGAUUUACCAAGAUUCUUCUUCAUCUGUUUGGUCUGUAAUAUUCAGAUAUUACCAGCAGCCAACGCUGACUUGCAGUGUCUUACAUAAUUUGAUUAGCUGGGGAAAAAAGACAAUGCAGGAAUUUAUUUCAAUGAAAAGACAAAUCUUUUCAUUCCUGUGCUGCACUGAGGGUUAGCAGAGUCUCUUUGUUCCUGGAGUUUCUGCAGGACGAACGUGUUUUUAUCCGAGCUGGGCAAGAUGGCCGCUUUUCAUGUUUUUGGCGUGUAAAAACAGUGUCUUGGCUUACAUUUAUUUUGUAUGUCCUGAUGCACAACUUCACUUCAAUGCAACACAGCCAAUGAGCUGCAUUCCCCCUGGGAUUUCAAAUACAUGUCAGUUUUCUUCUUGAAGUGAAGGGCCCAAAAACUGAUCUGUAAGGCAGCUGAAAAGUCUGCACACACUGAUGAAUCCAGAGAUUAUCACCACUUCCAAAACUUCUAAUACGACAAAAGUUUGAAAUGAGCACGUGGUUGUUAAGAACUAAAAACUGGAGUUCUGACCAGUUUAAUCUGUCUCAGACUCUUUUGAAAGAGCAUUUAUGCCUCAUCCAAAGUGCUGAAGUCCUUCAGAAGUUAGCAGAUGCAAGCAACUUAAAGCACAAUCUGAUGGCAGCCAAAUGAUGCAAGUACGUCUGUUCAAAUCUAAAUUAGUUUCAGCAAAACUGAACACAUGCUCAAUGACAGACUCAGUCUGUAACAGCUUGGCUCCACAUGUCCACACACAUAAGCAACUCAACCCACCAGAAAACCGCGUUUGUGUUUUUGGGAGGAUCUCUUUAACCUCUCACCUUUCUGCAGCGAUGCACAGGUGUACGCCGUCAUGUCACACGGUGUGACAUCACUGAAAGGUGUGGUUACAUGUGCAACAGAGCACCAACUUGAACCAAAGAGGGCAGUAAAACUGUGCCUCUCAGCAUGGUGUGAAGUCACUCUUUACAGAACAUCUUGUGCUUAAGUCUCAGUGUGCACACUUUUCAGCUUACUGCAGUUAUAUACUCGGAGAGAAGAAGACUUCAUCAUCAUCAUCAUCAUCAUCAUCAUCAUCAUCAUCAUCACUGAGUGUGUCGGUUGUUAAUGAAACUCGUGUGUAUUGAAGUCAACAGCCCUCUCAGUGAGCCACCAGACUCCAGAGGAAAAAUCACCGAUUUAAGGACGUGUGAGAUGGAAAUGAAGCCGAGAGGAACAACUGCAGACUGAAGACGAGCGUCAACCAGCAGGAGAGAGAGCUGAAGAUGGUGGAUCAUCAUCCUCCCUCGGCGUCCCAGAGGAACUCUAAAACCCCUUCAGCUCUUCUAGAAAACCCCAGAAUAAUUUCCCUCUGAAUCCUUUACAUCUUAAAACUCCCUUAAACUUCAUCUUUAUGCCUCAAAUAUCCCUUUAACGCCAUCGUCACAUGAUCAUGUUCAUAAUCGGUGCCAGGAAGGUGAAGAGGAGUUAAACGUUUUACCUUAAGACCCCUUAAACUUCCAUUUAAGCUCUCAGACCUUCAGUGAUAAGACGAGGGUAAAGAUGACACCAGUGAUUUGAAGUCCUGAAUGUUGCCUUCCCUCAUCAGUCUGAUGAUGAUCUGAGGUUAGUUAGCUUCAUAUUCAGGUCUGAUGUUCGGGGAUUUGAGGGGUCCAGGGUGCGGAGACAGUGAAAAUCUGAUUUUCCCCUAAAAGUGAUCAAUUCUGAGCAAAUUCAAGCUGCAGGUUUGUUUCUUCUGGCUAAUUUUCGGUUUAAUGUGUGGAAACUCUGCAGUGAGUUCAUCAGAGUUUCCCUGCAGCAGCUGAAACUCUGUUCAAAACCUCCCUAAACUUCUUCAUUUCUGCCUGAAAGCCCCUAAAAGCAUCCAACCCCCCCCAACGAACCCUGAAACCUUCCCAAACUUCUCCGGGCCCCCCCCAGUUCGAGAACCGGUUUCGCAGUGCCAGCGUGCUCCGACAUGUCCUGCAGGUUUCACUGCUGCAGUGUCGCCGGGGGGCCGAUGGGGGGCGCCUGAGUUCAGGCCUGCAGGCGCUGCUCGUGCAUGCAGCACAGCAGAGCGACUGCGUGCAUUUACUCAAAUAAACACUCUGCAGUUAUGAAUGUGAUGUUUCUGCCACCACUCGGCUCAGUUCAGGUUCAGCUUCCGGCCUCGGCAGGCUUAACGGCUCCGGCCCCGGCCCCGUGACCCGGUCCGGGACAGUCUUCGUCCGGGCCCAGAGGCUGAAACUGCAGCAGAGCCUCAAAGUGUCUGCAAGUGCAAACAUCUGUGAAAUAAACGAGAACCUAAACUGUGACCUGAAUUUUGCCAAGUGUUUAUUAAACCCAUUUCCAUCUUUUGUUUUAAACUCCCCUGUUGCACAACCUGCAGCCGGGCCUCCGUUACACAAUGCAGCUCUGCGCCCAGCCUCGUGCUGUGGCACGAGCUGAUCACCUGCUCGAACUUCCUUUAUUGUGCUUCUGCAACCAGACUCCAUUUAUAAUAAGAAGAAUUUAUGUAUCGCCGCUGCUGUGCUGCUGCAGUUGGGUGUUUGUGAGCGGGUGUGACGGGAUGCAGUGUCGGGUGGGAGCUUCCUGUCGUCCGGCUGUGAUUCAGGUGAACUCCGCGGCUUUUCCAGUGCGGCAGGAGCAGAUCCCGGGAUCAGGGAGAAGCCAGAUCUGGAAAUUCCUCUACUCAGAAAGAACAAACUGGUAGAGCGUUAGGAGAGAGGAGGGAAGGAGG